GGCGGACGGGUGAGUAACGCGUGGGUAACCUGCCUCAUACAGGGGGAUAACAGUUAGAAAAUGACUGCUAAUACCGCAUAAGACCACGGUACCGCAUGGUACAGUGGUAAAAACUCCGGUGGUAUGAGAUGGACCCGCGUCUGAUUAGGUAGUUGGUGGGGUAACGGCCUACCAAGCCGACGAUCAGUAGCCGACCUGAGAGGGUGACCGGCCACAUUGGGACUGAGACACGGCCCAG
rnacentral:rRNA from 1 species